GGGCAGGUUCCCGAGCGGCCAAAGGGGACAGACUGUAAAUCUGUUGGCGUUGCCUUCGGAGGUUCGAAUCCUCCCCUGCCCA
rnacentral:tRNA from 1 species